GACGAACGCUGGCGGCGUGCCUAAUACAUGCAAGUUGAGCGCUGAAGGUUGGUACUUGUACCAACUGGAUGAGCAGCGAACGGGUGAGUAACGCGUGGGGAAUCUGCCUUUGAGCGGGGGACAACAUUUGGAAACGAAUGCUAAUACCGCAUAAAAACUUUAAACACAAGUUUUAAGUUUGAAAGAUGCAAUUGCAUCACUCAAAGAUGAUCCCGCGUUGUAUUAGCUAGUUGGUGAGGUAAAGGCUCACCAAGGCGAUGAUACAUAGCCGACCUGAGAGGGUGGUCGGCCACAUUGGGACUGAGACACAGCCCAAACGCCUACGGGAGGCAGCAGUAGGGAAUCUUCGGCAAUGGACGAAAGUCUGACCGAGCAACGCCGCGUGAGUGAAGAAGGUUUUCGGAUCGUAAAACUCUGUUGGUAGAGAAGAACGUUGGUGAGAGUGGAAAGCUCAUCAAGUGACGGUAACUACCCAGAAAGGGACGGCUAACUACGUG
rnacentral:rRNA from 1 species